rnacentral:rRNA from 1 species
GACGAACGCUGGCGGCGUGCUUAACACAUGCAAGUCGAGCGGUAAGGCCCUUUCGGGGUACGACGAGCGGCGAACGGGUGAGUAACACGUGGGUGACCUGCCCUCCAGCUCUGGGAGUAAGCCUGGGAAACCGGGUACUAAUACUGGAUAUGACUCCAUGACGCAUGUUGUGGGGUGGAAAGCCUUGUGCGGCUGAGGAUGGGCCCGCGGCCUAUCAGCUUGUUGGUGGGGUGAUGGCCUACCAAGGCGACGACGGGUAGCCGGCCUGAGAGGG